rnacentral:rRNA from 1 species
AACGCGUGAGGAUCUGGCUUCAGGACGGGGAUAACAUUGGGAAACUGAUGCUAAUACCCGAUAUGGCGAGAGCUGAAAGAUUAAUUGCCUGAAGAUGAACUCGCGUCCGAUUAGCUAGUUGGAGUGGUAAAGGCACCCCAAGGCGAUGAUCGGUAGCUGGUCUGAGAGGAUGAUCAGCCACACUGGGACUGAGACACGGCCCAGACUCCUACGGGAGGCAGCAGUGGGGAAUUUUCCGCAAUGGGCGAAAGCCUGACGGAGCAAUACCGCGUGCGGGAGGACGGCCUUUGGGUUGUAAACCGCUUUUCUCAGGGAAGAAGAUCUGACGGUACCUGAGGAAUCAGCAUCGGCUAACUCCGUGCCAGCAGCCGCGGUAAUACGGAGGAUGCAAGCGUUAUCCGGAAUUAUUGGGCGUAAAGCGUCCGCAGGUGGUUGGUCAAGUCUGCUGUCAAAGCGUGGAGCUUAACUCCAUAAGGGCGGUGGAAACUGAUUAACUAGAGGAUGGUAGGGGUCACGGGAAUUCCCAGUGUAGCGGUGAAAUGCGUAGAUAUUGGGAAGAACACCAGCGGCGAAAGCGCGUGACUGGGCCAUUACUGACACUCAUGGACGAAAGCUAGGGGAGCGAAAGGGAUUAGAUAC